rnacentral:rRNA from 1 species
UACGUAGGGUGCAAGCGUUGUCCGGAAUUAUUGGGCGUAAAGAGCUCGUAGGCGGUCUGUCGCGUCUGCUGUGAAAACUCAGGGCUUAACCCUGAGCUUGCAGUGGGUACGGGCAGACUAGAGUGCGGUAGGGGAGACUGGAAUUCCUGGUGUAGCGGUGAAAUGCGCAGAUAUCAGGAGGAACACCGGUGGCGAAGGCGGCUACCUGGACAGAAACUGACGCUGAGGCGCGAAAGCUAGGGGAGCAAACAGG